AGCAGCCGCGGUAAUUCCAGCUCCAAUAGCGUAUAUUAAAGUUGUUGCAGUUAAAAAGCUCGUAGUUGAAUUUCGGGGUUAGUAGGUUGGUCAUGCCUCUGGUAUGUACUGGUCUCACUGAUUCCUCCUUCCUGAUGAGCCGUAAUGCCAUUAAUUUGGUGUUGCGGGGAAUUUGGACUGUUACUUUGAAAAAAUUAGAGUGUUUAAAGCAAGCUAACGCUUGAAUACAUUAGCAUGGAAUAAUGAAAUAGGACGUUCGAUCCUAUUUUGUUGGUUUCUAGGAUUGACGUAAUGAUUAAUAGGGAUAGUUGGGGGCAUUAGUAUUCAAUUGUCAGAGGUGAAAUUCUUGGAUUUAUUGAAGACUAACUACUGCGAAAGCAUUUGCCAAGGAUGUUUUCAUUAAUCAAGAACGAAAGUUAGGGGAUCGAAGACGAUCAGAUACCGUCGUAGUCUUAACCAUAAACUAUGCCGAUUAGGGAUCGGAUGAUGUAAUUUUUAAUGUACUCAUUCGGCGCCUUAA
rnacentral:rRNA from 1 species